rnacentral:ribozyme from 1 species
GAAGAGAAGAAAGGAGAACAAAAGAAGAACAAAAUCAAGGGGAAAAAAAAAAACCACAACAACGUCCUUCUCCUUCCUCUUCCUCCCCCUCGUUGUCUUCCCAAUCCCCUUCUCUCUCCUUU